CACAAAGAAGAGAAGAUGGAAUUCUCUGCAUUUGAUUCCUUAUCAGGACUAUGACACAGCCCUUUCUUGCUCUUCAAAGAGCUUUUACAAUUUGGAGGGAAGUUCGGAGAGUUAAGCCACUUGUCUAAGGUCACAUAGCUGUGGGCAGAAGCGUGCCUAAUGUCCAGGCCUCUUUCCCCAGCAGCCCUGGAGCUUGCCUGCCCACACUGACCCUGUGUUCCAGAUGGACCACACAUGCCGGGCUGGGAACGUGCCAGGCUGGGAAAUCGGAAAUGUGUGUUUGAUCAGUGAAGGUGAAGCGACUGGGACACAGAGAGACAGAGCAGCUUGCCCGUGGUUGCACAGAUACAAGUGGAUUUGUUGAGACGUGAGUAUAGGAUGUCUGCUCUCAGGUCUGUGCUCUUACCCAGGAUACUAUGACACCUCUCACGCCUGUGGAACUGGAAGAUCUGGGAAAGCUUUUUGGAGGAAGGGACAUUAGUAGUUGACCUUGGAGGAAGAGGUAGGAGUUGGAUAUUUGCAAAUAGGGGGCAGAGCUUUUCAACCAAAGGCUAGGAGUAUUUUCUGAAUGCCAUGACAUCUGUGACUGUCCUAAGGUCACCUGUUUCUUUUGUAUGAUUUAAUGUUCUCAAGUGUAGGACUCACUCUCCAUUUGAGAAAGGAUAAAUAAUAAGGAUAAAUCAAUAAGAUCUAUUGUGUUUUACUUUUGAUUUUCCUAGAUUUUUUCUUUUUUUUUUUUCUUCUUCAUGGUGCUCAGCUGUAAGUUGCAAGAGUUUGGGAAGAUUUGACCAAAAGGCAGGAGAGAACAACAUAUUCGGAACUCAGGAUGUCUUCUUUUGGACCCACUUCCGGUGAAAUCCCCAUGCAGAUCAUAUGUCCCAUCUGUCUGCUGACACACAAAGAUAAAUGCCAUGACAAGAAAACAAGGGACAGGCUUUUUAAAAAUAUCGAAGAUGCUUGAAAGCAGAGAAUCCUUUAGGGCUUAAGAAAGACUUUUAUCUCUUAGAUUUAUUUGUCCAGGGAGUGUUAACAGCCCUCCAGGUUCAAUAUCACCCUUGAGGAACCCGGAUACAGCCACUGGUAAAACAAUUUUUACCGUCUCUAAAGCGUCUCUGAUGCACCAAGAGGCCAAUUCCUAAAAAAAAAAAAACAAAAAAACCCGACAUGCAAAUGGCAGUUACAGAGUGCAGGGCAGUGAGGAGGCACUAAGCACAUUUGCCUCGAGGGGGAAAAAAAAAUCCGUGCGAGAAUCACAGGUGUAUUUUACAAGCCUUGAGUUGAUUCCUCCAAAGGGCCAGUCAGUGCUCCUCAGGUAUCAAAGCUGUGUGCCGUGCAGCCUGGCCCUUAAAACAUUUAUGUUGUGUUUAUCAGCGACUCGCGACUCCAGGCUCCCAGCUGCGUUCACCAACUGCCUCAUUAGCCUCCUGCACCCUCCCUUCCGUUGGCUGCAGCCAGGAAUUAUAACCCUGAUUGUUGCAGGCUGUUUCUUGAACAUUUCUGUGUUUCCCUUAACUGGAAAUAUGCAAUGUAGCCACCUCCCUGCUGGGACUGGAAGAUGAGAUAUUUUGUAAGCUUGUCUCAUCCUCCAAAGCUCACACGGGGACUCUUUCCCCUGACCCUUCCCACACACUUCAUCCUCCUCCUCUGAAUGCAUAAUCACUUCCUCCCUGUGCUACUCUCACCCCCAGGGUGAUAAAGAAGGAAAACCCAGCCUAGAUGAGUCUCUUGAAUUUUAAAUAUGAAGCUUCAUUCAAUCCUUGAGUUUAGUAGGAGAAGGGACUGGCCCUGACUCUCUCUGGAUGGCUAUGAAUCCACAGACAGUAGAAAUGUGUAUUUGACCAAGAAUAAAAUUCUGAGUUCCUAUAAGAUAAUUCCUUUUGCAAAGCAUAGUGUGGACUGCGCCCUGGGCACAGCCCCCUUUACCAUUCUGCUAGUCAGGUGGCUUGUGGCCAAGUCUUCUGGUAAAGCCUUGGGAGCCAGCCCCAGAGCAGGGAGUACCCAGGCUGGGAGAAAACCGAGUGCCGCGUCCUAGAAAUUCUUCACAAAUCUCCCCCUGCCAUUGUGUGUGCAGCUGUUGGGGCACAUGCAUCUGCCCAGGCACUGCGAGCCUCAUUUUGCGCCUGGCUGACAUUUAUCUCCUGGACAAGCUCAUGUCACAUAGGUUCCAUGGAGCAAACCCAGGCAGAGCCUCACCCUGGUAACUGCCAACCAGUGACUUCAGGUUCUCUACCGUCAGAGAAGCCAGUGGAAACCUCUGCUCCCAUCUAAGACUUCAUUUUUCUUCUUCUUUCUUAUGGGGUUGAGUAGUGGUGGAAAUGAAUUCUCCUUCUUCACAAAAGUCACUCCAUGUGGCUGCUUUCUGGGAAAUGCUGGCCUAGGUUUGGCUCUGAUACCACGCUGUCUGUUUUUCUCUCCCACCCCUCCCCAGCUUUUAAAAACAAUAUUCAUGACUUUAUUUUCAUUUUCAUUUUAUUUGUAACUGUACGUUAUGCAAACAUGACAAAAGCAUGAACAAAAUUCUAAGUAAAAGGCAGGAAAAACCCUCCACAAUCCUACCACCACAAUCAGCCAAGCUGUGUUCAGCUUUUCAUCACCUUAAUCUACUCAGGCCAUAUGAAUAUAUAACUUUACCAGUGUAAUUAUAGCAGAGAUACAUUUUUGCAUCCACUUUUUUUUUAAACUGAACAUUAUAUGGUAAGCCUUUUCCCAAGCAUCACAUAGCGUUUAUAUUUAUCUUUCUAGUUUUUGCUUACCCAUUCCAUUGGAUGAAUAUUAUAUAAUUGAUUUAACCGUUUUUUGUUGUUGUUGUUGUUUACAUUUAAUCAAUAUGAAUGCUGUUGUGACUUGCUGUUAAAUGAAAGCACUAACUAUGCUUUUUCCCUUUGCCAUUAUUUCCUCAUGAUAACCUCCUAAGAGUCUCCUCUUCGUUUUUGCUUUGGAUCCAGAGGUAUUUGGUUAUUUUCCUGUUUACAGUGUCUUCCACGGUCUGACUGAGGGCUGAGAGUCUGGUGGGAACAUUCUCCCAGAUGUCCUGGGCCGUGGGAGACAGACAGGGGUGGAGGAGGGGGCACAGGCCUUUAUAAGGAAGUGGAGAAAACUCACUGUGCAGCUAAUUAGAAAGUGCCAUGAAGCAAGUCCAAACUUUAUGGCUUGCCUAGAACUGAUGACGGUUUCUAACCAGGCCUGCCUGUUCUCUCGCAGGUGUGCGCAGCCUACAAGACCAUAUGGUUUUCGGCUGGAAUGGGCCUCAUUCUUUGUUCAGCCCAUGAGCCUGUAACUGAAUAUCAGUUAAUAACUUUUCAUAAUCAUGUAGCUUGGAUCAGCUUCGAGGUCCAAGAAGAGGCUCUGUACAAAGCUCUGUCUUUUUCUGACUCUUACUGCCACUCUGACACACCUGCUGGGAGUUGCAGCCCCAUGACUGUCCCCAGGGCAAUAGCAACAUCCCAGUCCCACAGAGGGUCAGCUGCAGGUUCAACAAGUGGAGCAGCCAGGGCACAGAAUUCAUCCUUCAGCAGUUAACUUGUCUCCCUUGAGAUUUGCCGGGAGGGUUGGGGGUCCUGUGACUUUAAAAAUAAAAGAGGCGGGCAGAGCUUUUGACUAAAAAAAUAUUUUACAGCAGUUUCCAACACACAGGCCUUCUCUAUGUAAAUUGAGUCACAGGCUCUCCUGAGAGGACUGAGGUCACUUGGGAUCUUGAGAAUGGCUGGGGUGGCCCUGUGAUCAAAGGAAUUCUCCACCCUCCCCAUGAGCAGUGGGAUUUCCUCUUUUUUUGUCCCCCUCACCCACCCCACCUCUUGCUUAAGGUGAUCUGCCAUCUUUUCUGCUGUCCCCUCUCACUGGUGGCAGUGACAAGAGGAAUGGUUGGGAAGGGAGCCUGUCAAAGCUGUGCUUGGUCCCCCUUCUCCUGAGACUUUGUACUCUGUCCGCCCAGAUGUCUAGGUGGUGCUCUUGGACUGCAGUGGCCAGUGAUCCCAGGGAGCUGUGUGUCCCUUUGUUGCUAUUGGAAUAUGUCUGAUCAUGAGAAUUUUGGAAAAUGCUUCUUUUUGGGCCUCGCUGAAGACCUACUGAAUUGAAAUUUCUAAGGUCCCAAUUCCAAGUCCUGGGAAGAGUAAAUCUGAUUGAACUUGCUUAAGUGUUUAUCCAGACUAAAUACUGUGUGAGAACUGGGAAGAUGAGAGAGGGGAGGAGAAAUUUCUGAGGGACUGGUAACUGGAGAAUGGAAUUGGAAAGUUUCGAUCACCCCAAAUGUAAGAAAGGAAGAGCUGCAGUGUUUAUGUUUUCUUGAGUGGUUUUUCUGGACUGUGGCCUCUUUCAGAGAAGCAAUUCUAUCGUGCUCUAGGAUGUCCUCCCAAAGAACCUAUGUCACCGUGUGCACCAUAUUGACUGGUGGGUUCAGUGACUGCAUGAAGGCUGUGAGGUGAUAAUAUUAGUAGUAGAAAUAGUAGCAACAACAGCAACCACAAUCAUUUCAGUGGCUAGUUGUUAGAACUCCCCAGCAUUUCAUAUCCAUUACAUUAUUUAAUCAUCUCUACGAAACUGCAAAUGUGGCAGUAUGUUAUUACACAGAGAAAAAUUUAGAUAAGUUGAUUUUCUUUGUUCUUUCAUCCAAACAAGACAGUGGACUUAGGUUAUGUCUAUACAAUGCCCAACAGCUAGUCAAAUCAUGGCAAUUUGGGAGUCUCACAUAUACAUGCAAGGCAGUUUGCUGAACUCAUUUUUAUUUGUGUUAGAGUGUCUUUACUGAAAUAGUCUAGUGGUUAUUUCUCACUAUCACUAUUUAUAAAAUAGCAUCUUGUUAACUCUGCACAAAGUAAAAUAGAAGCUUCAAUACAAGGCUUGUUUUGGGCUAUGUACCCUACCAACUAAUUCAAAACAAUACAUAAAGUUUAGUCCAUUAAACCACAGGUACGAUCAAUGUCCCAUAAAGGCCAGAAAAGGGGAAAAAAAGGACUUUGUGACUAGUUACACAUAAAAAUCAAUGUGUGAGUUCCUAUAAGUUACAUAAAAACAAUAAUAGUGACGCCAUUUUAUUCCCCACACACUGUAACACAGAUAGAUCUUUAAUAUCAGCAUUCCAAAGUGUUCCAGCCAUUCUUUACUGGGUUUAAAUAAUAAAGGAAAAGACAUUUCUCAGUACUAAUAAAAUAUUAUUUAUGAUUUCCCACUCAUAAAAGCUGCAUUAUUAACCACUGUGUUCUAGUAAAUAUUUUACAUUUCGUCAAUAUUUGCAAUGGCAUUAACAACGUUCUCCUUAUGAGACUUCAGUCAGGAACACCUUCAUUGAGCACCACAUUCACCUUAUUUUUAAAUUUUCAAAGUCUAUUAUCUACAUUAGAUCUCUCCUAGGUGUCUAAAUCAAUGAGAUGUGCUGGACAAAAAAAAGUAAGUUGGAAAUUUGAGAGUUUUGAAGAGUGUUAAAGAGUUUUCAAACACUUGAGUGUGUUGAAGUCAUUUAUUGGUGUCACCUGGGACUUCUAGUGGAACCUUAAUCCUCUGGCUUUUGGUGUCUAUAACUUUGAAAUGGGACUAACACUUGUUUUCAAAAUAAUGAAUUUGAUCUUUUGCUUCCCUCUUAACACAAGUAUUGCAGUAAUCCUGAGUGCAGGAAGCUUUUCUUUACUUCGUCAGAGUAGAAAGGCCGGGUCAUGCUACAGAGAACAUGAGGGGUUUAGGGUCAGAUAGAGCUGGAUUUAAAUCCAGAGUUCAUCACUUAUUAGUUUGAGACCUUGGUUACAACACAACCUCUUUGAGCUUUAAUGUUGUCAUCUAUAAAAUAGAGAUAACAGUUAUCUCCAAGGGAAGUGAUGAAAACUAAAUAAAAUAAUCUAAUCAAAAUGCCUCGCAUAACAGGCUCUCAGGAAAUAUUGGGUUGUCGGAAAAGUCAUGACAUAUUUUUUCUAUGUUUUUUGUUGCAAAAAUGCAUCAUGACUUUUCUGACAACCCAAUAGUUUUCCUCCCCUAUUAUAUUAUGCAAGAUGUUAUAAUCAACAGUUUCUGAUAGUUUGGAGAAAAAAAUUCUUCCUGUUUUAUGGAGAUGUUUCAAGAACAUAUUAAAGAUUACUGCUUUCUUGGCUCAUGCAUGGUGAAUAGAGUGGGUUUCCUCUUUUUUUCUAUAUCCAUCUGUUCACCCUUAUAUUCAUUUAUUCACCAUACUUACAUUGAUUGCCCAUUAAGUUUUGGGAAUAUUUGAGAAAAACUGAUUCAGGGAUGUAGGUUGGGGUGGGAGUGUCUCUUGUUGCUGUAAUAACAUCAGAGAAUUUAGCUUUUACUUUAUUAAAUAAAUAUGAAUGUACAUAUACAUUUUAAGUGUCUAGCAGUCACUGGCUCAAAUCUGGGCAGGUGACCUGGACUUGGCGGGGUGGGCACAUUAGUUUACAUCCCUCACUUUUAAGAAUGAGUCUUAUUAUCUUUGGUCAGUUACGAAUGUCCUUUAACUUCAUUUUUAAUAGGAUAUUUUUGGUGCUGAGAAUCAAAUUUUUAAAAAGUGGUUGGAGCAAAAAGUCAGGGAAGCAGAUUGUUUCAUUUUCACUGUAAGUAGCUGCCAAAGUGAAUCAUCAUGACUGUAACUUCAUGUAGUCCCCAAAUCAUCAUUAGA